GGAAGUCGGGCCCUGGUCAUUCUAUUCUCAAAUGUCGUGGUAGCUCAAUUCUGAAACUACAUCGGUUAAAAUGUCAAAUUUGUCUCUGUUUUAAGUUUAUCCCAUUCCAUGGUCGUGCAGAGUUGGCAGGCUCAACUUCUCCACUAACGCUACCGUUGACGCAGCAGACCAUCGACCGGCAUGCAAAAAGCCUCUUUCCUCUGUAGUGUGACGCUCAUCACGAAUUCUGGGUGAAACCUCCCAUUGGCCAGGAAAACUUCAUCACAACCAAAGUUGACACCUUGGACGUGGACCGGUGUUAUGUUAUGUCUAUCUGACCUGAUGGCAAUCGUGCAGCAGUAAUGGCAGUGUAAAUAAAAAUUACUUUGUA